rnacentral:rRNA from 1 species
GAUGAACGCUAGCGGCAGGCUUAACACAUGCAAGUCGAGGGGUAUAGGUUUUCGGACCUAGAGACCGGCGCACGGGUGCGUAACGCGUAUGCAAUCUACCAUUCACAGAGGGAUAGCCCAGAGAAAUUUGGAUUAACACCUCAUAGUAUAGCAGUUUCGCACGAAACCACUAUUAAAGUUCCAACGGUGAAAGAUGAGCAUGCGUCCCAUUAGCUAGAUGGUAAGGUAACGGCUUACCAUGGCUACGAUGGGUAGGGGUCCUGAGAGGGGGAUCCCCCACACUGGUACUGAGACACGGACCAGACUCCUACGGGAGGCAGCAGUGAGGAAUAUUGGUCAGUGGACGCAAGUCUGAACCAGCCAUGCCGCGUGCAGGAUGACGGUCCUAUGGAUUGUAAACUGCUUUUGUACGAGAAGAAACAACAUUACGUGUAAUGUCUUGACGGUAUCGUAAGAAUAAGGAUCGGCUAACUCCGUGCCAGCCGCCGCCGUAAUAC